rnacentral:rRNA from 1 species
UACAGAGGUCUCAAGCGUUGUUCGGAAUUACUGGGCGUAAAGCGCGCGUAGGCGGAUCGCUAAGUCAGGGGUGAAAUCCCAGGGCUCAACCCUGGAACUGCCUUUGAUACUGACGAUCUGGAGAUCGGGAGAGGUGAGUGGAAUUCCGAGUGUAGAGGUGAAAUUCGUAGAUAUUCGGAGGAACACCAGAAGCGAAGGCGGCUCACUGGCCCGAUACUGACGCUGAGGCGCGAAAGUGUGGGGAGCGAACAGG